GCCCUCAUAGCUCAGUGGAUAGAGCGCUACCCUCCGGAGGUAGAAGCCCAGGUUCGAGUCCUGGUGGGGGCA
rnacentral:tRNA from 1 species